GGAAAAAUCUAUUGCACCGUGGAGUCCACGGCGCUCUAGUGUCACUUAGUGCUAUUGCACCGUGGAUCCACGGCACUCCAUGUCAAAAUAUGCUAUUGCGCCGUGGAUACCAGGUAGCGCGGUCUGCCCUGCUAUACCUUCUUCAGCUUUCUUGGUUUUCUUUCGUUACCUAGUUAUUGGCCUGAUUAUAUAUUUCGUGAGUGUUAAUGGCGUCCUUGUUUCUUUGAUGAGUUGAAAUUUUCCUGCUGUCAUUGCUGACAAUCAUGAUUUUAUGUAAAGAUGGAAUUGGACACCGAUACUUUAUCACAAAACCAAUAAUAUCACUAUCACAUAAACGUACAUUGACAGCUUCAAAUGGCAUAGUUAAUACAAACAAGUAUUGUGAUCACACUCCACGGCGUAAUAGCAUGUUUUGCCCCAAGAGCGCCGUGGAUCCACGGUGCAAUAGCACCAAGUGACAUUAGAGCGCCGUGGAUCCACGGUGCAAUAGCACUAUAUGACACUAGAGGGCCGUGGACUCCACGGUGCAAUAGGCGCAACCGAUGUUAAUUAAGACUUUACAUGGAGAUGUAUGUUGUGUCAAUGCUUGGAAGUAAACUCAUCCUGAAUUUGUCAGUCUACAGACUAAAAAAAUGGUUGACACUUUGAUAAAAGUAAAUCAAAAUGGCAGAAGAAUGUGAAAUGAGGUUUCCCAUGAAAAAGGUAUCAAGUACUUUUAAGCAAGAUCCCAAUUCCAUAUUUGCCAGCAAAUGGUAAGCAAUUGUCUUCUUUCUGAAAACAAUACUCUUUUAUCAAGAUUUCAAGUUGUAACUUUAAAUCUAAUGCUUUUAUAUUACUUACUAACACUUUCGAUGCUGUAGGAUUGUAGUUGUCUUUGUAACUUUUGUCUUUGUUCAUUCAAUUGAAGAGGCUGCAACAAUCAUGCAUCAGGCAUGGUAUAAUAGCAUCUAUUCUAGGCUAUAUCUUGCCAGAGUCAUCUGACCUUGCAUCUGGAAUACAGAAGAAAUAAAAGUGCUUAAUAUUGAGCGUUCAGCAAGUUAAGGAUUUAACUGUACCUAUUUUUCCAUUCCGCUUAUUCGCUCUCUGCAAUGCCACAAAAUCUCUCUGCUUUUAGAUAAACAUAUUACCAUGAUACAUCACAGUCAAAGCUGUAAAUGUCAGGCGUCAGCCGCGUCACGCGUCAGGGACGACAGACAGGAUUCCUCACCAGAGGGAGAAUAGCGAUGUUUUUCGAUUCUCUUGAAAAAACUAAAAAAGACAUGGCCUUUAAAUUGAUCUUAUUUUUCAACGCGUUAAUUGUUAUGGGACAUCUAAAAUAGACUCUGAAUGAACCUGUGCCACCAUCUCCACAUGAAUGAGUUCAUUUGCUGCACAACCAACCAACCAACCACACACAGCAAACACCACAAUAAUUUGCAACCUUUGGGACAAAAUAACCCAGAAGUUCUAAACCCUUAAUUGACCCGGCACUAGCCCAUUUUUUAAAUAACUACAAUGUUUAGGAAAAUUGUUCAAAGACACCAAUUCGUUGGCGAACAAACCAUGAACCUUACUGAUACCUAUGCACUAUUCAAUUUAAAAUUGCUACCAAGUCCUCCAACAUAGCGAUCCGAUGCUUUACCAUUGAGCUACGAAUGACACCUGUAACACUUCUACUUCUUCGACACAUUAACAUAACUGCACGAGUUAAAUAGUCCCU
rnacentral:lncRNA from 1 species